AAAGCAAUUAAACCGAUUAUUACUGCUUUCCAAAUGAAAGCUUUUGUCUCUCAUUAAGAGUGGCUAUUAUUACAAGCGUUACUGUAGUGAUAUAGUGAUUUUGACAGUAUUAGCCUCAGGUUCAGAUUAUUCAUUCAUUCAUUCAUUCAUUCAUUCAAUCAUUUUACUUUGACGUUCAAGUUUGGGUUGCCAGAUUGCUGGGAAUGAGUUAGGUUAAGAAAACAAUUGAACAAGAAAUGAGUGAGAGGCAUGAAUGAAAGGAAGAACUCGUGUUUACUGUGACCUUUUCCUGAAAUGGAUGUAGUGACUCUCCAGAGAGCCUGGAGAAGAGACAUCCCUUCAGCAAAUGGGGAAGAGGAGCCAUCGGAGAAUUGAAGAAGAGAUGAAAGAAAGGAAGGCGAAAGAGAGAGAGAGAGAGAGAGAGAGAGAGAGAGAGAGAGAGUGGAGGAUGUAGUGACUGGAACCGUAGGCCUUGAGAAAGUGUGAUGGUCUCAGGUGUUGAAGGAUUCUCCUAUUACGCGGUGAGCAGUUAGAGGCAGGCUUACUGUCACAGCUUUCCCCCACCUUCUCUCACCUUCUGUGAUAACAGCUCUUUUCAUGACGACGCUUUAUUAGCCAGUUUGCAUGAUUGCAAAUGGCUUCUUAUGUGGUGGAAACUUCAGUCAUUUACAUCGGCUCAUGUUUUGCUAAUUAAUCUCAAUCAUGGUCUUUUUAUUACUGAAAAGAGAGAUGGAUAAUUGGCUGUGUGUAUGUGUGUAAGGAAUAAAAAUGAUGAAGCAGAAAAUUAUAGGGAAAUAAUCAACAAUUAGAUGACUUCUUCAUAGGAGUUGUUGAACAGGAGGCAUGAAGCCUGCCCUGCUUUUUCUUUAAAUCGGAAUUGAAAUGAUCAACAAUUAAAUGUCCUCUUCCUCUUCUUC